UACCUUAGUACGGCGAGUGAAGCGGUAAAAGCUCAAAUUUGAAAUCUGGUACUUUCAGUGCCCGAGUUGUAAUUUGUAGAAUUUGUCUUUGAUUAGGUCCUUGUCUAUGUUCCUUGGAACAGGACGUCAUAGAGGGUGAGAAUCCCGUUUGGCGAGGAUACCUUUUCUCUGUAAGACUUUUUCGAAGAGUCGAGUUGUUUGGGAAUGCAGCUCAAAGUGGGUGGUAAAUUCCAUCUAAAGCUAAAUAUUGGCGAGAGACCGAUAGCGAACAAGUACAGUGAUGGAAAGAUGAAAAGAACUUUGAAAAGAGAGUGAAAAAGUACGUGAAAUUGUUGAAAGGGAAGGGCAUUUGAUCAGACAUGGUGUUUUUUGCAUGCACUCGCCUCUCGUGGGCUUGGGCCUCUCAAAAAUUUCACUGGGCCAACAUCAAUUCUGGCAGCAGGAUAAAUCAUUAAGAAUGUAGCUACUUCGGUAGUGUUAUAGCUUUUUGGAAUACUGUUAGCCGGGAUUGAGGACUGCGCUUCGGCAAGGAUGUUGGCAUAAUGGUUAAAUGCCGCCCGUCUUGAACCACGGGACCA
rnacentral:rRNA from 1 species